rnacentral:tRNA from 1 species
GGCAAGAUGGCCGAGCGGUCUAAGGCGCCAGAUCCAGGCUUUGGUCUUUCUGGUCCUCCGGGGCGUGGGUUCAAAUCCCACUCUUGUCA